GAUGAACGCUGGCGGCGUGCCUAACACAUGCAAGUCGAACGAACAGACGAUGAGAUUUUGCCUUUGACGUUAGCGGCGGACGGGUGAGUAACACGUGGAUAACCUCCCUAUAUUACUUGGAUAACUACGGGAAACCGGUUCCAAUACCAGAUAAUAUAUUCAACCGCUUAGAUCAAUAGAGAUUGACGCUUUUGCUGUUACAUUUAGCUGGAUCCGCGCCGGAUUGUUUGGUUGGUAAGGUAACGGCUUACCAAGGCGACGAUGCGUAGCCGACCUGAGAGGGUGAUCGGCCACACUGGAACUGAGACACGGUCCAGACUCCUACGGGAGGCAGCAGUGGGGAAUCUUGGGCAAUGGGCGAAAGCCUGACCCAGCAAUACCGCGUGAGUGAAGAAGGUCUUCGGGUCGUAAAACCCUUUUGUUGGGAAAGAAAAGAAGUGGAAGUAGAUCUGGCCGUCUUGACGGUACCUAAACAAUAAGCACCGGCUAACUACGUG
rnacentral:rRNA from 1 species